UGGUACUAACACGUGACCAACUCUAGAGUCCAAGUUUGUAUUUCUCCUAGGGUUCGAUAGGCUCACGCUUAACUCGCUGCUUACCUGUGCUCCAGGUCCAUCCACUGCUGCAGCUCCUGUGUCACCCAGUUCCUCAUUUGUCAAUUAAUGUAGAGUUUAGGGUAAACUCAGACUGAUAUCAGGAAGUUAAUUUCUAAAACAUGCGCGGUUAGAGCCUGGAUCUGCAAGUCACUUUGAAAAUAUUACAUAAUGAUUUCACUUUUAUUUUUGUCAAAAUGGGAUAGUUUGUCAAUGGACUGAGUGUACCUGUUGUUUGACUGGUGGUUGUUGCUAAUGUGACCGGUUUUGGAGUCCGAGGGGUCGAGGUUAGAUCAAGAAUCCACAUGUCUAAAGAUGCCCUACUGGCUUUAACAACAACGACAAUUCUGCAUGACCAAGCAAUGUGAAAAACCUGAUUACCUACAACAAAGUACUUAUAUAAAAACAGGAAAAAAAAAUUAAGACAGGAUAUCAUCUGAGAAAUAGAUAUGAGAAACUUGUUGUGGUCCCCCCCCCCUGCUAUUGAGAUUUUCAGGAGUCAUCUUAGAACCCACUUUUACUCCUUACCUUUUAACCGUGCCUAACUUAACGAGCUCAGAUACUUUCCCUGAAGUCUCUUUAGGUCUGUUUUGUCAAGUGUGUUUUGUGUGACCAUGUGCUUAUCCCAUUAAUGUAUUUAUCAUCACUCUGAUCUUCUCUUCUGUUGUGUUUCUUUCCUUCUUUUAUUUUUGUUUUCCUUUUGGUGUUCUGUAAAGCACUUUGGGUCAACUGUGUUGUGUGUAAAGGGCUAUCUAAAUAGAAUUUAGACGAGAAA